rnacentral:misc_RNA from 1 species
CCGAGUUCAUGCCCUCACGGGUAGAUCUCCCACCCUGUGUUAUUAUUACCUUUGUUGCUUUGGCGGGCCGUCGGGCUUCGGCCCGGCUACCGGCUCCAGCUGGUAAGCGCCCGCCAGAGGACCCUAAACUCUGAAUAUUAGUGUCGUCUGAGUACUAUAUAAUAGUUA